AGAUAUCAACGAAUGUUUGGUAUCAGGUACAUGUCACGAAAAUGCAGAUUGUGCAAAUACCAUUGGAAGUUAUGAGUGCCGUUGCAAACCAGGUUUUACCGGAGAUGGUUUAAGUUGUGAUGGUAAGGAAUAAAAUAGUAGACAUCAACUUUUUGUUGAUGAAGAUGGGCUAGAUGCUCCAUAUUAGCCAAAUUAAAUAUAAUAAUACACUGUCAUGAUUUUUUCUGUGUCGGUGUAAUGUACUCAGGUGAAUAUGAUGCUUGUGAUGUUACUCUGAGUGUAUAUCCACACCGGACAAGCUUAAAAAGUGUGCCUGACCACGGCGGGAAUCGAACCUACGACCUUUGGUAUACUAGCCCUAUCACAAUCAUGAUUAUUAUUAGAUAACAUUGAUAUUGAAGGAACUAGAUUCUGUUCCGAAAUAUCACAUACUCGAACCGACCGGACCGCGUAGCUCAGUUGGCAGAGCAUUGGGCUAGUAUUCCAAAGGUCGUAGGUUCGAUUCCCACCGUGGUCAGGAACAUUUUUCAAGCUUGCCCGGUGUGGAUAUACAAUCAGAGUAACAUCACAAGCAUAAUAAUACACUGGUCAGUGGGAAAUUGCAGUGUACUUACCAAAAACAAUCCACAAGACCCAGACUUUGACCAGUUGAGAGAGGCAAGGUGUAGAAAUGUAAAUGUGAUGUCCUAGCGAAGUUAUGCAAUGGAACACCUCAUAAACAGAAAUUUUGUAAACCGCCACUGCCUGUUAACGGACUUUUAUCUCAUCCACAAAUAUAUUUGUCAAGCUUUCCUUCAUCUUCUCUGAAAUGUCUACUACCCCAUAUCUUAUCUUUUCAGUGUCUCUGUCCAGCUCUUCUUCAUCUCUUAUGACGUAUUGAUGCCAUCUCAGCCUUGGGUCUCUCACUUUCUCUGAAAUGUCUACCGCCCCACAUCUUCUUUUCAUCUCAUUUUGUCCUACAGUGAAACCCAUGGCAUCCGUUUGGACAAUAUAUGAUAUGCUCAUAAUGUUUUGUUAAGUAUGUUUUAUGAAAUAGUAUAGUUGACGUCUUUCACCGUUUAUUUUUUCUAGAUAUUAACGAAUGUUUAACAGUAAGCUGCCACGUGAAUGCCGAUUGUAACAAUUAUCCUGGCUCAUUCGCAUGUGUUUGUAAACCAGGAUAUAGUGGUGAUGGUGUAACAUGUGUCAGUA